AUCAGAGGACCCUGGCUCUGCCAUAUUCUUCCUUUGUGACCUCAAACAAACAACUCUCCUGAGCCUCAGCUCCCUUGGGUGUAGGGCAGAAGGGUUGGAUCUUUGGGUCUUGGGGGCCCUCUAUGUCUGGACUAACCCAGACCUGAACAACAAUGGCCUCUGCAACAUCUCUGAGAAAUCUCCCUUCUGGCUUCUGCUGGAGCAUAUCCCGGGAUGAACAAUUCGCUGUCCAUUCUGCUUCCACACAAAUAAAUUCUUGGGAAGUAAUUCUUCAGCUUCCACCCAACAUGCUCCAGGUGAUACAGAUGAUGAGCAAGAUGGGCAAUGGCUAUGACUCUGGAGGUUUGGGAAGUUCUGGAACAUGAACAUGCAGCGUCCCAAGAGUUCCUGAACUCGAGAGUAGCUGCCAGAAGCCAGAUGGCAAGAAGCACUGCCCAGCCCAGCAGUAAGAGAAUUGUAGAUCCAUCCAAACAUCUCAUCAACACUACAUUUGGAAGCAACUCCGUGGGGCAAAGGCUAGAAAGGGAGAAACUCUGUUCAGUCUGAGCUCCCUCUACCCAAGAAAGGGAAGUGCAUGUACCCUUAGGCGUCAAAAGGAAAAUGUCAAGUAAAUGAAGCUGAGAAGAGUUAAGUGACUUGACCAAGGCCCAUGACUGUGCAGGAUUCAGAUGGGGCAGUCCCGAGUCCAAGAGCCCUCCGACUAUCCCACCUCCUGCUCGAGACAUGGAGCAUCCAUCCCUCAUGGUUUUCAAGCAGAAGCCAGAUGACCACGUGCUUUAAUGGAGGAUAGCCAUGAAUCAGAGGAGGAACUGGGGAACAACAAGCUUUCUACCUGUAAUAAUCUGAACCUCAAAAAGGCUCAAGACCCAUCUGGAAUCAAUUCCAUGUGGUGGGAUUUAGAAGGCUUUUGGGGAGUCCAGAUCUGCGUCUCGGGGAGUUCUUUAAAACACUGACACAUAGUGGUGUGCUACUAAAUGUAUAGCAACAAAAGUACAUAUGUGUGUAUACACAUUAGCUAUAUGUGUAUACAUACAUGUGAACUAUACAUAGACACAUGUGUAUGCGUACACAAAUGGAUAUUUUACAUAUAUGAUAUGUAUAGAUACACUUGUGUAUAUAUGGACAAUACUCUUAAGCUUAAUAUGUAAUAUUCACAUCUUCACCAUCAUUUUAUGUCAAAACAAUCAACAAAAUGACCAAAUGAACUCUGAUUUGGGAGCGUUUGCCAGUUUCCAAGCUGUAGGUGUUUACACUGGAAAUUAAAUAAUCAGUUGAGCCCCCUAAACUGACUUCAGCUGUAUAGGAAGCCAGCAGCUGGAAGUAAGGAGGGGGACUAAUGGAACAUCAGUGAAGAGGCAGCUAGUCAGGAGACUGCCCAGUGGAAGGACCAGCAAGGGGCCAACAUGGCUGAAUGCCAGUCACUGGAGUCCCCAAGACAGAACUAGAAAAGCAAGGAGGAGCCGAGGGGGAAGGAGCUUAAGGGCAAAGAAAGGAUUUCAUAAAUUUGAUCCCCGGGGUAGCAAGAGCCACUAACAUUUGUUAUGUAUGAUCUGGGAGCAGGGGAUAGGGAAGAGAUGAUCCUGUUUGUAUUUUAGGGAGAUCACUCUGUGAGAGCAGUAGAAGGUUAGGCUUAAAUGAGAAGAGAUUUGAAGUAGUAAAACCAAGAAGAAAGUUACAGCAGGGGUUCGGGGAGAAGGUGAUGAGAGCCUGAACCGGGGGGCGGUGAUGUAAGAGGGGACAUGGA